rnacentral:lncRNA from 1 species
GAUAAGUCAGACGAGUCUUUGGAGAACAAUGAGAGUUGAAAACAAACUCACAAAGUAAUCAGAUUUCAUAUAAAGUUUAAAAGUAUAUUGUCUAACCCCAAAAUGAUUACAAAACAACUAUUUAUAAUAUAAAUUCCUAAGGUAGUCGAAUGGCUAAUAAGAUGCUGAAUGGUCAGCCAAAAUUAAAACAAAAGAGGCUGGAAAUUUCCAGCAACCUUCCUAGGACAUUUUUGGGAAGCUUCAUGCAUGAAGAAUUCAAUUGGGCAGCUUCUAGAUGGAGUCCAUUCAGCUGGACAUUAAUGGAAGUAUUGGUGAGCUGAAUAAGAGGUCUUGGUUCGGCCAAUGAAGUUGAAUGCACCUUAAUGAAGCCUCCUUGUGAGCUGAACAGCUUGCCCAUUUUUAAUGACGUUUUGGGGAUCUCCAACAACCCAUGGUGUGAACAUCAAAUAGGAACAGCCUUGUGUGUGUGAACUCAUGAAACUGAA